GGAGAGGUGGCUGAGCGGCUGAAAGCGAUGGGUUGCUAACCCAUUGAAGGGGAAAAUCCUCUUCCCCGGGUUCGAAUCCCGGCCUCUCCGCCA
rnacentral:tRNA from 1 species